GCCCGGCUGGCGCAAUGGUAGCGCGCAAGACUUCUAUCCUGAAAUCUUGAGGCUGUGGGUUCGAGCCCCACGUUGGGCU
rfam:Aureobasidium subglaciale EXF-2481 unplaced genomic scaffold scaffold_9, whole genome shotgun sequence.